rnacentral:rRNA from 1 species
UACAGAGGGGGCAAGCGUUGUUCGGAAUUACUGGGCGUAAAGGGCGCGUAGGCGGUCUCUUAAGUCGAACGUGAAAUCCCCGGGCUCAACCCGGGAACUGCGUCCGAUACUGGGGGGCUUGAAUCCGGGAGAGGGAUGUGGAAUUCCAGGUGUAGCGGUGAAAUGCGUAGAUAUCUGGAGGAACACCGGUGGCGAAGGCGGCAUCCUGGACCGGUAUCGACGCUGAGGCGCGAAAGCCAGGGGAGCAAACGGG